GCAUUCUGCCACAGAGGUCCCAAAAUAAAUCAACCAAUUACUCCAGAACCAAAGCCCCACUCUUAGUGUUGAGCUUUAUACAUGAACCCCAACAUCUCCCUGGAAAGUGGACAUUAAGAAUGAAAAUGAAAGACACUUUGGAAUGUGGAAGGAAAUACUGGAGAGUUGAAGGUAGAAAGGAAUCCAGAUAACUGGGCAUAAGGCCUUUUUUCUUCCUUUGGAUCUCUCCACCAGGAAUAGGAGAGCCAGGUACCAAGCCUGGGUCUCGCAUCAUUCCUGUGCUGCUGCCAAGGCCACACUGACUGGAUGAGUAGUAACCAACAACAGGACACCAUAGCCAGGGAUCUUCACUAAUGCUGACAUUCUUGGCUUGGAAGCACUAGAGCUUUCUCUCUAAAGAAGACAGGUCCAGGAACAGAUGUGAGGAGGCGGGUGGCCAUGGAAUGGCAUGGACAGGCUGCGACUGAGAUUUGACUACUUCUGACAAUCAUACAUAAAAGAGAAGGGAGGGAGCAGGCGCAGGACAUUUAGAAUUACCUGUGUACAGUCAGACGAA